UCCUCGGUAGUAUAGUGGUGAGUAUCCCCACCUGUUACGCGGGAGACCGGGGUUCGAUUCCCCAUCGGGGAG
rnacentral:tRNA from 1 species